rnacentral:rRNA from 1 species
AAGGGUUGCGUAGGCGGUUUAUUAAGUCAGUGGUGAAAGACGGUCGCUCAACGAUUGCAGUGCCAUUGAUACUGGUAGACUUGAGUGGGAUUGAGGUAGCUGGAAUGGAUAGUGUAGCGGUGAAAUGCAUAGAUAUUAUCCAGAACACCAAUUGCGUAGGCAAGUUACUAAGUCUCAACUGACGCUGAGGCACGAAAGUGUGGGUAUCAAACAGGAUUAGAUACCCCUGU